rnacentral:rRNA from 1 species
UACAGAGACUGCAAGCGUUAUUCGGAUUCACUGGGCGUAAAGGGUGCGCAGGCGCCAAGUGUGUGAGGCGUGAAAGCCCGGGGCUUAACCCCGGAAUUGCACCUCAAACUACUUGGCUAGAGCAUUGGAGAGGGUAGCAGAAUUCAUGGUGUAGCAGUGAAAUGCGUAGAUAUCAUGAGGAAUACCAGAGGCGAAGGCGGCUACCUGGACAAUUGCUGACGUCAGGCACGAAAGCGUGGGGAGCAAAAGGGAUUAAGAAACCCCCGGU